GGUCCCGUAGUGUAGCGGUUAUCACGCCUGCCUGUCACGCAGGAGAUCGCGGGUUCGAUUCCGGUCGGGACCGCCA
rnacentral:tRNA from 1 species